rnacentral:rRNA from 1 species
UGGUGGAGUGAUUUGUCUGGUUAAUUCCGUUAACGAACGAGACCGCUUCCUGCUAAAUAGUUCAACGAAUGUUCUCAUUCGUAUGACGCUUCUUAGAGGGACUAUCGUCCGUGUAGGCGAUGGAAGUUGGCGGCAAUAACA